rnacentral:rRNA from 1 species
AGUGAAGCGGCAACAGCUCAAAUUUGAAAUCUGGCGCAAGCCCGAGUUGUAAUUUGUAGAGGAUGCUUCUGGGUAGCGACCGAUCUAAGUUCCUUGGAACAGGACGUCAUAGAGGGUGAGAAUCCCGUAUGUGACCGGCCCGCACCCUUUACGUAGCUCCUUCGACGAGUCGAGUUGUUUGGGAAUGCAGCUCUAAAUGGGAGGUAAAUUUCUUCUAAAGCUAAAUACCGGCCAGAGACCGAUAGCGCACAAGUAGAGUGAUCGAAAGAUGAAAAGUACUUUGGAAAGAGAGUUAAAAAGCACGUGAAAUUGUUGAAAGGGAAGCGCCUGCAACCAGACUUCGCGGCAGUGUUCCGCCGGUCUUCUGACCGGUUCAUUCUCUGUCGCGAGGCCAUCAUCGUCUGGGCCCGCCGGAUAAGACCUGAGGAAUGUGGCUCCCCCUCGGGGGAGUGUUAUAGCCUCUGGUGAUGCGGCGUGGCUCGGGCGAGGUCCGCGCUUCGGCAAGGAUGAUGGCGUAAUGGUUGUCGGCGGCCCGUCUUGAAACACGGACCAAGGAGUCUAACAUCUAUGCGAGUGUUCGGGUGUCAAACCCCUACGCGUAAUGAAAGUGAACGGAGGUGGGAACCGCAAGGUGCACCAUCGACCGAUCCUGAUGUCCUCGGAUGGAU